GACUUUUCCUGGUAGCGCAGUGGUUAGCGCGCCCGAUUCACAUUCGGGAGGGCCCGGGUUCGAAUCCCAUGUCAGGUCA